UACGAACGCUGGCGGCGUGCUUAACUCAUGCAAGUCGAACGGAAAGGCCCUUCUUUUGUGUGGUGCUCGAGUGGCUAACGGGUGAGUAACACGUUAGUAACCUGCCCUUGACUUUGGGAUAACUUCAGGAAACUGGGGCUAAUACCGGAUAGGAGCUCCUGCUGCAUGGUGGGGGUUGGAAAGUUUCGGCGGUUGGGGAUGGACUCGCGGCUUAUCAGCUUGUUGGUGGGGUAGUGGCUUACCAAGGCUUUGACGGGUAGCCGGCCUGAGAGGGUGACCGGCCACAUUGGGACUGGGAUACGGCCCAGACUCCUAAGGGAGGCAGCAGUGGGGAAUAUUGCACAAUGGGCGGAAGCCUGAUGCAGCAACGCCGCGUGCGGGAUGACGGCCUUCGGGUUGUAAACCGCUUUCGCCUGUGACGAAGCGUGAGUGACGGUAAUGGGUAAAGAAGCACCGGGUGACUACGUG
rnacentral:rRNA from 1 species